UAACGUCCGUCGUGAAGAGGGAAACAACCCAGACCGCCAGCUAAGGUCCCAAAGUCAUGGUUAAGUGGGAAACGAUGUGGGAAGGCACAGACAGCCAGGAUGUUGGCUUAGAAGCAGCCAUCAUUUAAAGAAAGCGUAAUAGCUCACUGGUCGAGUCGGCCUGCGCGGAAGAUGUAACGGGGCUAAACCAUGCACCGAAGCUGCGGCAGCGACACUAUGUGUUGUUGGGUAGGGGAGCGUUCUGUAAGCCGUUGAAGGUGGCCUGUGAGGGUUGCUGGAGGUAUCAGAAGUGCGAAUGCUGACAUAAGUAACGAUAAAGCGGGUGAAAAGCCCGCUCGCCGGAAGACCAAGGGUUCCUGUCCAACGUUAAUCGGGGCAGGGUGAGUCGACCCCUAAGGCGAGGCCGAAAGGCGUAGUCGAUGGGAAACAGGUUAAUAUUCCUGUACUCGGUGUUACUGCGAAGGGGGGACGGAGAAGGCUAUGUUAGCCGGGCGACGGUUGUCCCGGUUUAAGCAUGUAGGCGGAAGGUUUAGGUAAAUCCGGACCUUUUUUAACGCUGAGGUGUGAUGACGAGGCACUACGGUGCUGAAGUAACAAAUGCCCUGCUUCCAGGAAAAGCCUCUAAGCAUCAGGUAACAACGAAUCGUACCCCAAACCGACACAGGUGGUCAGGUAGAGAAUACCAAGGCGCUUGAGAGAACUCGGGUGAAGGAACUAGGCAAAAUGGUGCCGUAACUUCGGGAGAAGGCACGCUGAUGGUAGGUGAAGUGACUUGCUCAUGGAGCUGAAAUCAGUCGAAGAUACCAGCUGGCUGCAACUGUUUAUUAAAAACACAGCACUGUGCAAACACGAAAGUGGACGUAUACGGUGUGACGCCUGCCCGGUGCCGGAAGGUUAAUUGAUGGGGUUAUCCGUAAGGAGAAGCUCUUGAU
rnacentral:rRNA from 1 species